rnacentral:lncRNA from 1 species
AAACAUUUUCGAUAGAGGGGGAUGAGUGGUUACCAAUGUUUCCAAUGCCGAUUAUCUUACCUUUGGCAUUAUCUCCAAAGGUCACAUGACCUCCAUCAUUCUCUUGAAAAUUUGAUAAUAAUGAUCGUUCACCGGUCAUAUGCUUCGAGCAUACACUAUCCAAGAACCAUUUACUUUUUAUUUUCUUUGGUACCUACAAAGAC